AUUUACAUAGUUUAUUAAAACAUUACAUUUUCACUGUAAAAAUAACCUAGUUUGUAAAUG
rnacentral:tRNA from 1 species